UACGUAGGUGGCAAGCGUUGUCCGGAAUUAUUGGGCGUAAAGCGCGCGCAGGUGGUUUCUUAAGUCUGAUGUGAAAGCCCACGGCUCAACCGUGGAGGGUCAUUGGAAACUGGGGAACUUGAGUGCAGAAGAGGAAAGUGGAAUUCCAAGUGUAGCGGUGAAAUGCGUAGAGAUUUGGAGGAACACCAGUGGCGAAGGCGACUUUCUGGUCUGUAACUGACACUGAUGCACGAAAGCGAGGGGAGCAAACAGG
rnacentral:rRNA from 1 species